rnacentral:rRNA from 1 species
UACGGAGGGGGCUAGCGUUGUUCGGAAUUACUGGGCGUAAAGCGCACGUAGGCGGCUUUGUAAGUUAGAGGUGAAAGCCCGGGGCUCAACUCCGGAAUUGCCUUUAAGACUGCAUCGCUAGAACAUCGGAGAGGUAAGUGGAAUUCCGAGUGUAGAGGUGAAAUUCGUAGAUAUUCGGAAGAACACCAGUGGCGAAGGCGGCUCACUGGCCCGAUACUGACGGCUGAGGGCACG